UACAUAAACGCUACCACUACAUCUCAGAACAUCACUCAGAUAGAGCAGAGCAAACCUACCUCACAAAGAAAAAGAUUAAACCAACAAAAUGAAGAUUGUGAUUGUUCUUGCUUGUCUUUUGGCCAUCAUUGUUCCUUCUGAGGCCAGCAGUAGUGAAAGUAGAAGCAGUGAACGAUGGGAAUACAUAGAUUAUCCAGUCCAAAUGCCAUAUCCAGCCCAAAUGCCAAAUUAUGCCCCUAAGUAUCCUCCAUACUAUGGUGGGAAUCUAUUUGAAGAUUUAAGGAGGGCUAUGGCAGGAAUCAUGCCACCUGUUAAGAAGGGUAAAUAAAAGCUGUUCUGUUAACUGAUCUUGCUGAAAUACUCUUUAGAAGAUACCUAGAAGACAUCCUUUUGCUUCUGGCAUAGCCUGAUGAAUGAUUUUGCUUUACAUUGACUUUUUAAAAGUUUUUAUGCUUUUCUUUAAAUAAAUUUAACAGAAUUACAGAA